CCUAACACAUGCAAGUCGAACGGUAACAGGAAGAAGCUUGCUUCUUUGCUGACGAGUGGCGGACGGGUGAGUAAUGUCUGGGAAACUGCCUGAUGGAGGGGGAUAACUAUUGGAAACGGUAGCUAAUACCGCAUAACGUCGCAAGACCAAAGAGGGGGACCUUCGGGCCUCUUGCCAUCGGAUGUGCCCAGAUGGGAUUAGCUAGUAGGUGGGGUAACGGCUCACCUAGGCGACGAUCCCUAGCUGGUCUGAGAGGAUGACCAGCCACACUGGAACUGAGACACGGUCCAGACUCCUACGGGAGGCAGCAGUGGGGAAUAUUGCACAAUGGGCGCAAGCCUGAUGCAGCCAUGCCGCGUGUAUGAAGAAGGCCUUCGGGUUGUAAAGUACUUUCAGCGGGGAGGAAGGGAGUAAAGUUAAUACCUUUGCUCAUUGACGUUACCCGCAGAAGAAGCACCGGCUAACUCCGUGCCAGCAGCCGCGGUAAUACGGAGGGUGCAAGCGUUAAUCGGAAUUACUGGGCGUAAAGCGCACGCAGGCGGUUUGUUAAGUCAGAUGUGAAAUCCCCGGGCUCAACCUGGGAACUGCAUCUGAUACUGGCAAGCUUGAGUCUCGUAGAGGGGGGUAGAAUUCCAGGU
rnacentral:rRNA from 1 species